GACAGAGGCCCCAAGCGUUAGGCGGAAUCACUGGGCUUAAAGCGUGUGUAGGCGGAUCGUUAAGUGUCUUGUGAAAUCCCACGGCUCAACCGUGGAACUGCCGGGCAUACUGGCGAUCUUGAGGCAUUCAGGGGCGAGCGGAACAAAUGGUGGAGCGGUGAAAUGCGUAGAUAUCAUUUGGAACGCCAAUGGUGAAAACAGCUCGCUGGGAAUGAUCUGACACUGAGACGCGAAAGCCAGGGGAGCGAACGGG
rnacentral:rRNA from 1 species